UACGUAGGGGGCAAGCGUUAUCCGGAUUUACUGGGUGUAAAGGGAGCGUAGACGGCCAGACAAGUCUGAAGUGAAAAUCCAGCGCUUAACGUUGGAAGUGCUUUGGAAACUGCCGGGCUAGAGUGCAGGAGGGGCAGGCGGAAUCCCUAGUGUAGCGGUGAAAUGCGUAGAUAUUAGGAGGAACACCAGUGGCGAAGGCGGCCUGCUGGACUGCAACUGACGUUGAGGCUCGAAGGCGUGGGGAGCAAACAGG
rnacentral:rRNA from 1 species